rnacentral:rRNA from 1 species
UUUCCCUCAGGAUAGCUGGCACUCGCUUAUAGCGAGUCUCAUCUGGUAAAGCGAAUGAUUAGAGGCCUUGGGGCCGAAACGACCUCAACCUAUUCUCAAACUUUAAAUGGGUGAGAUCUCUGGCUUGCUUGAAACUUGAAGCCACGAGAUAAUAUCGUAAAAUGGAUCAGAGUGCCAAGUGGGCCAAUUUUGGUAAGCAGAACUGGCGCUGUGGGA